ACUGCGAUAGGGGGACAUCGAGUGGCAUCCACCUUGGGUGCCUGUCCAACCGUCUAAAAAACGGUUGUUAGCAAGGGCCGGGUAAGACCGGUGCCAGCCGCCGCGGUAAUACCGGCGGCUCGAGUGGUGGCCGAUAUUAUUGAGUCUAAAGGGUCCGUAGCCGGCUUUGCAAGUCCCCUGGGAAAUCCAGCGGCUUAACCGUUGGGCUUUCAUGGGAUACUACAUUGCUUGGGACUGGGAGAGGUAGGAGGUCUCGGGGGGUAGGGG
rnacentral:rRNA from 1 species